CAAUAGCGUAUAUUUAAGUUGUUGCAGUUAAAAAGCUCGUAGUUGGAUUUCGGUUAAGAGCGACCGGUCCGCCGUUUGGUGUGCACUGGUUGGUUUUAACUUCCUGUAGAGGACGUGCUCUGGGUUUAACGACCUGGACUCGGAGUCUACGUGGUUACUUUGAAAAAAUUAGAGUGUUCAAAGCGGGCUCACGCUUGAAUAUUUCAGCAUGGAAUAACACUAUAGGACUCCUGUCCUAUUUCGUUGGUCUCGGGACGGGAGUAAUGAUUAAGAGGAACAGUUGGGGGCAUUCGUAUUUCAUUGUCAGAGGUGAAAUUCUUGGAUUUAUGAAAGACGAACUUCAGCGAAAGCAUUUGCCAAGGAUGUUUUCAUUAA
rnacentral:rRNA from 1 species